UAUGUGGUAAGAAAUUAUGUGCUUAUCGUCAGGGGGGAGUUUUCCGUAAAUUAGAUUUAUGGUGUGUUUUUUUUUUUUGUCUCGGUAGAAGGUUAGGAUCUUCAAUUGAUGAUCAUCGCUGGGUUCGAUCGUUGCUUCUAUGGUUUGAUGAUUUGAUUAUUUUGAAGCUUAUUAUCGCUAUUUUUUUUAUGGCGAUUUUUUAGGUUUAAUCAUGGUUGUUUUUUGGGCGGUGGCUCUAGUAUUUCGAAGGAUUAGACGGGAAGGAUACGAGUUUUUGCGCUAUUUUGGGUUUGUUUAUGUGGUAAUUUCUGGAUCAUUCCAAUUAUCGGACAAACUUGACAUCAAAUUUCCUUAAAAAUUAGCCCUGUUCUGGUUCUUCUUUCUGGUUUUCUUGCUGUGCUUCUUGUAGAAUGAUGGAUUUCGGGCAUAUGGAGUGGGAAGGAACUCUCUCUUGGAUGGAUGUGAGCGUAAUCUGAAUCUGGAGUUUUUAUUUCAUCCAUAUCUGUGGUUGUUAUUAUUGUUGUGAUUGCUGUAGGCGGUGCUCUGGACUUUUCAGUAGUUUUGGUGUUGUGUUGAUCGAGGAUUGAUGAGAAAGAUUGAGUUUUUACUAUUGUUGGGUUUGUUGAUUAGUAAUUUCUCGAUCGUUCUUUUUUAUCAAGAUUUUUCGCCUUUUCUUUUUCUUGUCUUUCCUUUUUUGGUUCUUUUGAUGUCCUCGUUGUGGUGUGGCAGAAUCCUAGUCUUCGGUGGAGCUAAAAAAGACUCUUUCUGGACACGAAUAUCAUACGAUAUCGGGAGUUUUUUCCUCGUCCCUCUUUUUGGUUUCCUUUUUUAUUUCCUGAAAAAAAUUAACCGGGGAUUCAAUUAGUAACUGGCCCUAUCUGUUGUAUUGAUAUAGGGGAUCUUGGAUGCAGGAGGGUCUGGUCAUGUUUGUUACCCUGCUAUACUGGUUUUCGAGAUUCCAGAGAAGUUUUCUCUGUCCUUACUUGUUUUCUGUUGUUUGACUGGGAGUUUUGUGGCUAUAGAUGCUGAUUUCCUCUGUGAGACAGCUGUGUUCGUUUUCUGAUUUCCUGCAUUAUUUUUGGGUUGUGCAAUAUAGGGUUUCAGUAAUUCGGAAUUGUGGUGAUAACUGAGCCUUCCUUCCUCGGAUGGUAAACUGUUUUGGAGGGAGUUAUCUUCUUACGAACAAUCUUGUUCUUGAGGAAUUUAUGCUUUUGGCACCUUUUGAUAUCUCAGACUGUUUUACCGAGUUUUUUUUUUUUUUAGAAGUCCAGGACAAACACAGUUGAAAUAGCUUUAAACCUCUCCAUUCAAUUUGCCUGCACCUUUUUUUUUUGCUUGUUCUUCAUCAGAGUUAUCUUUGCCUAUUUGUUCUCUUUAGGCUUUUGAAUUUAUUUUGGUUCCAUGCCUUCUCUAUUUUUGGGAAUGGUUCUCAGAUGCUUAGGAUCGUAUCAAUAUGGCAAUAUUGAUGUUGGCAAGUAUUUCUUAGCUUUUAAAUUCUGCCAUCAAACAUGUUUUUCUAGGUAUUUCCCAGUGUUAUGGUGGUUCUUCAUGAUCGGAACAAGAAUCAAGUUUAUGCUUGUUAUAUGGAUAGGUUUAUUGUAGAUGAACGAUGAACUGAAUUUGUCAAAAAUUGGUAUUAUUGAAUGGUUUCAUUUGUCAGUUCCCAUCUUUGCGUCAAAUUUCAGUUUUUGUUGGCUUUUUGCGUCGCUUGCAGAACUCUAGUGAUAGGGAGGUCUCUUGUAUGUGAGACCGUGUGAAUUAAUUGAACGGAUUUGAACAUAAUCUCUUAUUUUGGGCUCAACGUUGGUGUUUUUGUGGUUGCUUUAGGUGGUGUUGCUAUAGGUCGUGGCUCUGGGUUUCAGCAGUUUCUCUGUGGUGGUGAUUGAGAAUUGAUCUUGAGGUUUUGCAGUUCAUUGAUCUAGUCAUUCUUGAAUGGUUCUUGUUGAUGUUUCAAGGUUGUCUUUUCUUCUCUGGUUCUUUUAACGAGGCAUUAGAAUGACGGAGUUCUGCGUAUGCAAGCAAAACGAGCUCUUCUUGGAUGGAUGGAAGCAAAAAGAGCUCUUCUUGGAAGGAUGAAUGUGAUAAAUCGGGAGUUCUCUUCUGCCUACCAAUUCUGUGUUUGUGUUCUUUGCCUAAAAAUCACUGGUGUUCGUUGGUAAUGGCUUGUCCAUUGUCUUCAUUUUAGGGAAGCUUGGAUCGGAGCACUCUCGUCAUGCUUGUUACCCCGCUAUUCUGGUUUACAAGAUUUUGGAUGAGCUCUCUCUUUCCCUACUUGUUUUCUGCUGUUUCCUUGAUAUUGAUUGGGAAAUUUGUGGAUUUGCUCCGGCUUAUUCUCUAAUUUCCUAUGUUACUAGGAUGUUGCAACAUAGGGUUUCAGUGAAGUGAUUCGUGAUUCAAACUUGCCUUUUCAUCCUCAGAUCAAGGGCUAGUAAAAUCUUUUGGAGGGAGUUAUUUUCUCACCUACACUAAUUGUUCUUUUUGUGUUCGGGGAAUUUAGGGGUUUCGACACCUUAUUUAUAAUUUAAGUUUCCCAUGUAUCUUUUUGGUCUGGCAGCAUGUUUUGCAGAGUCAACUUUCCUGAUCCACGAGGAAUAGAACGGGUUAUAACCAAGUGCAUGUCUCUGCUUAUUCAACAGUUUCUUUCUGGAAAAAAUGUCUAUGAAUGCUUUCAACCUAUGCAUUCAAUUCACCUAAGGUUCGCUUUCUUUUGGCUUUUGGAUUUGAUGGACUAGCUUAAUUCAGGGCUUCUCUUUGGGGAUGGUUCUGCACUGCUUAGUAUCUAAGAGGAAUUAAAUUCCAUCAUCAAGCAUUUUGUAUAGGUGGGUUCCUGGUAUUUUGCUCAUUCUGCUUGAUUUGAAGAAGAAUUAAGGCUAUGCAUAUUGGUUUGAUGAACUCUACUGAGGGUGGUGAUAGAACAUGGGCUUUUGGAUGCCAUUCUUCUUUAGAAUUAUGGGAUUCCCUUCUAGAAUUGUGGAAUGGAUGUGAUGCUUUGUUUUUGCAUUGCUGGUGGCAGUUGUUCUGGGUUUUCAGCAGUUUCCCUAUGUUCAUUGGUAAAAAGGACUUCACGUUAAUUGCUGUGUGUGUGUGGUUCUUGGUGAUAUUGCAAGAUUUGUCUUUUCUUCUCUGGUUCUUUUGAUGUCAUCUUUACAAGAAUAGUCAAUUUCUGGUGUGGAGGCGAGGAGCUCUCUUGGAUGGAUGUGAAUAAAAUCGGGAGAUUUUCUUUUGAACCUGGUUUUUCUUUGUUCUCUUUGCCUGAAAAAAUCAUUGGGGAUGGAUGGUGAUGGCUUCUGUCUGUUGUCUUGAUUUUAGGGAAGCUUGUUCCAGGAGCGCUGGUGUGUUUGGUACCCUAGCCAGUUUUGUAACAAGAUUUUGGAUGAGCUCUCUCUUUCCCUACUCUCUUUUUUUAUUGGCUGUUUUCUUCAAAAAUGAUUUUCUUUACUUGUUAUCUAAUUUGCUAUAUUAUUUUGUGUUGAAUCUAGGGUUUCAGUGAUUUGGAGGUGUGGUUGAAACUUAGGUCUCUGUCCUCAGAUCAAAGGCUACUAUAUUAUUUUGGAGGGGUUUAUCUUCUUACCUAUGCUUAUCAUUCCUUUUUGCUUGAGCAUUGUACUGGUUUUGGUACUUUUUGAUGUCCGUACAGUAUUAUGUAAUCUAAAUUUUUUGUGAAUCUUUUCUGUUUGUAGAAAUACCUCAUGCAUUAUUUGUUUUGUCAGUAAUUGCUUAGAAUUCUGUUCUUGAUCCUCUAGGAAAAGGUUUCACUGCUUAAUCCCAAUCAUUAAGUGUUGGACACCUCCGACCAGCCCAUUCAAUUCACAUGCACCUAUUUUGCGGCUUCUCCAUUAAUUUCUGGCUAGCUUAAUCCCAUGGCUUCUCUACGUGUGGGGAGCAGUUCUCAGAUGCUUAGGAUCUUACCAGUAUGGCGAUUUUGAUGUUCUGAAGUAUUUCUUAGUGUUCAAAUUCUGCCAUUAAACCUGUUUUUUCAGGUCGUUCCUGGUGUUUUGGUGGUUCAUGAUGAUCUGAACUAGAAUCAAGUUUAUGCUUGUUAUAUGAAUAGGUUUGGUGUUAUGAUAGACGAUUUAAAUUUGUAAAAAGUUGGUAUUGUUGGUUCGUUCCAUUGUCAGUUCUCAUCUUUGCGUCAAAUUUCAAAUUUUUGUUGGCUUCGUGUAGCUUGCCGAACUCAAUCGUCAGGGGGAGGUCUCUGGGAUGUGACUGUGUGUGAAUUAAUUGGAUGGGGUCUGAAUUUAAUGUAAAAUGUGGAGCUUUUAUUUGGACCUAUGGGUGGUUUUUUUUUUUUGUCUAGCUGGAGUUGCUAUAGGUGGUCUCUCUGAGUUUCAGAAGUUUCUCUGUGGUGUUGAGAAUUGAUCAUGAAGGCCUGCACUUUGCGGUUUUGUAGUAUGUUGAGUACUUCUUGAAUGUUCCUUGUUGAUUUUUCAAGGUUGUCUUUUCCCCUCUGGUUCUUUUGGUGUGGUGGUCUUAGAAUGGUGGAGUUCUACAUAUGGAGGCAAAAAGAGCUAUGGAUUGACGUGGUAGACCAGGAGUUUUCUUGUUUGUUCCUUUUGCCUAAAAAUCACUGGUGUUUGUUGGUAAUGGCAUCUCGCUGUUGUCUUCAUUUUAGGAUAGCUUGGAUCAAAACAUUCUUGUCAUGUUUGUUACCCUGCUAUUCUGGUCUACAAGAUUUCGGAGAAAGCUGCUCCCCUACUUGUUCUCUGUUGUUUCCUUCAAAUCAAUGAGAGAUCUCUGGAUGGUAGAUUUGCUCUGUCUGUAUCGUUUGUGCAUGAGGAAUUAGGGGUUUUGACAUCUUAUUUGUAAUAUUUCUGAUUUUCUUAUUCUGUCCGUUAUUUGGUCUGGCAGUAAUUUCUGCAGAGUUGACUUUCCUGAUUCAUGAGAAAUAGACGGGGGCAUAAUCAAGCGUAUAUCUCUGCUAAUUCUCAACUUUGUUUAGUUCUGGACUGUAUGAAUCACUUUUAAUCUGCCCAGUCAAUUCACCUAAAGUUAUCAUACCCAGUUGUUCUUUUCCUGGCUCUUGAUGGAUUAGCUUAGUCCAGGACCUCUCUUUGGGUGAUGGCUCUGCGGUGCUUGGUAUCUAACGGGAAUUAAAUUCUUUUAUCUAACAUGUUUGUAUAGGCAGGGUUUUUGUGUCGCUGAUUCAUCAUGGUCUGAAGAAUAAAUGCUACAUAUAUUGGUUUGGUUUUGAUAAUAUGGUAGAUGAUCUACAAUUUUUAUUUCAGCUUUGUGCCAAGUUCAGUCUCUGUUGGUUGUUUAUGUUUUCACACACUUGCAGAAUUCUACUGAGGGUGGUGACUGAAUAUGGGCUUUUGGAUGUGAUGAUUCUUAAGACUGAUUGGAUGGCUGUGAACGUGAUCCAUUAUCUGGAGUUUUGCUUCUGUAUCACUGUUGCAUUGCUGUAGGCAGUUGAUUGCUGUUUGUUUCGAUCAUGGUGAUGUUUCAAGAUCUGUGUUUCCUCUCUGGUUCUUUUGAUGUCGUCUUUCAAGAAUAGUGGACUUCUGGUGUGUGGAGGCAAGAAGAGCUUCCUUUUGGAUAGAUGUGAAUUAAAUUGGGGGCUUUUCUUGGCAACAUGGUCUUUCUUUGCUCUCUUUCCUUGAAAAAUUCACUGGGGAUAUUUGGUGAACUUUUAUCUGUUGUCUUGAUUUUAGGGAAGCUUGAACUGGGAGUAUCAUCCUGCUUCUCGGUUGUGAUAAGAUUUUGGAUUUGCUCUUUCUUUCCCUACUCUUUUUUAAUUUUUUUUUGGGUUCAUUUUCUUGAAAAAUGAUUUUCUCUACUUGUUCUUAAUUUGGUAUAUUAUUGUGUUGAGUCUAGGAUUCCAGUGAUUUGGAGGUGUGAAAACUUUAAGGUCUCUAUCCUCAGAUCAAAGGCUAGUACAUUGUUUUGGAGGGCGUUUGUCUUCUUACCUACUCUUACCAUUUGAGGGAGGGAGCUUGAAUUUAAGAAUCUCUGGUCAUUUUGUUACCUGGUAUUGUGGUCUGCAUGAUUCCAAAGGAGUUUCUUCUCUCGUCGGCGUGUGGUUUUCUUUGUACAGCACUACGUAGUUUUUAAAAUUAAAUUACGGCAUUCAAUUUCAGGAAGGGCUGGGAGUUGAAGUCAGAUCUGUGUUUUCAAGCCUGAAUUUCUGCAUUACUAACCCAUUCUACCUAGCUUGUGCACAGUCAUCCUAGUUGCAUACUACCAAUCAACAUGAAAUCAAAACAGAUGCAGAGGUUUCUUAUCCUGAUCAUGUGUAAUGGAUAUGUCUGAGCUUAACCGUAGUGUCAUUUUGUUUGUCCAGGUUUAUUCAUGAUGGUGGUGUUAAUAUACUAUGAAGUUUGCAGAUUCUGCUUUGACAGUAUGAGCGUUAUCUGGAGUUAUGGUUGUAUUUAGCAGAGUAUUGUAUAUUCUGUAGCGAGCAUGCUUAUUCCAGUGAAUUUAAGAUCUUUACCUCAACCAGUUCUUGAGUUCAAUGUCCAGAAAUUGGGAUUUCUGUUUCUGUUUCUCCUUUUAAGUGAUGGAUGGAAAAGAUGAAGCGCUUUCUAGUCUACAUGGAAUUUGAUUUGAUGACUUUGAUGUUUGAAUGUGGAAAGAAACUUCUGAUAUACUAUGGGGUGCGGCCUAAGAUGUAACUCAGUAUGGAUUAUCAAGUUCAUGGUCAUGGUCAAGUUGGGGGUGUAUUUCUUGCCUCCUAUCCUUUCUUGGGCUUUUUGUAUGUUUGAACUGGUUUGUCCGUUAUUAUGCAGCAACUUUAACUGUUCUCCAUCACCAUUGAGUACUCGCUGCUGGCCUUCGUUAUCUGCAAUUGAGUGGAAGAAAACUGUGUCGUGGUUAUUCUCACUUCAUAAGCGGAUGCUGGUUCAGUCAUGUUAGAACAGAUGCAUGCAAUAUCUGUUUUCACAGUCGUUGACUUGCAUACAACUGGUACCAGUUCUGGUAUUGUGCAGUCGUGUAAGAACAGAUGCGUGCAAUAUCUGUCUUCGUAAUCAUCAACUUACAUACCACUGGUACUGGUAUUGUUUGUGAAUUUCAUUUCAUACUUGAAUUUUGUGAUCCUCUGGUACAUAGGUUUAGUAUGCAACUUUAAAGUGCAUGUAAUUGAAUUUUGUUAUCCUUGGGUUUAUUGGACAAUAUUUGCUUGUGGCCUUUUAACAGUUAUGGUGUGGCAUCAAGAGGUCCAAUCUAAGAUCUGCAAUAGUUGUAUGCGUUGUGGUUUCGGGAAGGUGGUUGCAUCUUAACAGGCCCUGGCACAGGUGUAUUGUGUUCAUAGAACCAAUCAUAAAUGAUUGACAGAUUGAGAGGAAUCCAAAUGCCCUUGUGUACAAGUCUUGAAAAUCAUUAAUUUAUUUGAAGUGCGUACUACUUUUGAGGUUGAUUUCGGUGGAUUUAAGAAAUGAAAGAGUUCCUGUUUUCUAGGGCAACUUGUCAUUUUCUGUAUGAUUUACCUGUGUAGCUUAAGCCCCUGUGAUUUGUGUGACUUUUUAAGUCCCAUAAGUAGGGUCUAUUUGUUGGAUACUUGCACUAUAUAAUAUUUGAUCUUUUAUCAGCCUUUAGCAUCAUAAUUUUUUUCAAAAUUUUCAAAAUUUUUAUUUUUAUUUUUUUGUAUGUAAAUCUGUUUUGAUAUCCGAUUCUCUUCACCGGAGCUUUUCUUUAGACCUUUCCUAAUUCUUUUUGGUACCUUGAAUGCUAUAGAAAAUUAACUGUAGCAUCACAUUUGUUUCACACAGUGGUUGAGCCCCCUAACUUGAUGAAAAUUUAGUUGAUUUAUAGGUUAAGUAUGCAGAAGGUGAGCCUUGGUAUAAAAACAAGUAAACAAAGUAAGUGUGGUAAUUUUGGUAAUAUGUUUGGUGUGCUAUUCGUAGAGUUCUCUUGUACUCUGGUGCAGAUUGUUGCAAGUUUAUUUUGCUAUUUGUGAGACGUUUGUAGCUUGCCUUUUGGUGGGGAUAACUUGAAGAUUCCCUCUGCCUGUUGCUUUUUUGGACACUGCUGCGUAUGAGUUGGAUUUUUUUUGUUUUUUUUGGUUUUAUUGGAGAUGCAUCUGUCCUCUAUUGUUCUCUAUUGGAGAUUCCCCCUGUCUGUAUGCUUGUGCUGUUUUGUUUGGUAGGAUGCUUUGUAACUCCGCCUGUCUCCACAGACAGCCGGUCCCAAGCCCGGGCAAGAGGAGGAGGGAAAGCUGAUCUUAUGUGAUGGUAUUGGUCAUUAUUAAAUAUGGUUCUUCUCCAGGUCUUCCUAUAGUAAAUCACAAUAUUAUGUCUUAAUGUUUUGUGAUCUGGGAAAUCACAUCAUCUGUUGCUCUUCCGCUUGUUUCUUUUGGUGGAUUUGUGGGUGGAUGGGGCUCCAUUCAUGCGCACAAUUUCUGCCUUUUUAAGAGUUGGGGAUUCAGCUAAUGGCUUUUAUUUUAUCGGGUCCCUUGCCUCGUUAGAUGGGUUACUUUUGAAAAGCUUAGGCGAGGCAAGAACUUGCAAAGCCUGACAGCCAUAACCCGUGCGAGUGUGGAAAAAGGCAAAGGGACAUCAGAGUAAGCAAUCCCGUGCGUGCAAGAAGGCGGCAACGGGACAUCGGAGUACGCAAUGGCCUGUGUUGUUUUCGUUCGAGGAAGUGAUUGGCCUAACAGCCUUGUUACUAGCUUCAUGGGAUCAUAUAGUUGUAAUACUUCAUGCACUUCUAUUAAGCUAGUUUCUUAGGCACUUAAAGAUUGCAUUAUUCCUGUGUAUAAUGAAGGCUUGACACUUCACUCAAGUUUUAAAGUAUGAAAUUGGGACUAGUUUUGUAUCUCUUUUGCUCUUGUAUUAUGUAAUCAAUUACCUGGUGGUUCUGCUUCUGUUUGUUAAUAUUUCUGUUUGUUAAUAUUUCGUGUA